rnacentral:rRNA from 1 species
GACGAACGCUGGCGGCGUGCUUAACACAUGCAAGUCGAACGGAAAGGCCCUGCUUUUGUGGGGUGCUCGAGUGGCGAACGGGUGAGUAACACGUGAGUAACCUGCCCUUGACUUUGGGAUAACUUCAGGAAACUGGGGCUAAUACCGGAUAGGAGCUCCUGCUGCAUGGUGGGGGUUGGAAAGUUUCGGCGGUUGGGGAUGGACUCGCGGCUUAUCAGCUUGUUGGUGGGGUAGUGGCUUACCAAGGCUUUGACGGGUAGCCGGCCUGAGAGGGUGACCGGCCACAUGGGGACUGAGAUACGGCCCAGACUCCUACGGGAGGAAGCAGUGGGGAAUAUUGCACAAUGGGCGGAAGCCUGAGGCAGCAACGCCGCGUGCGGGAUGACGGCCUUCGGGUGUAAACCGCUUUCGCCUGUGACGAAGCGUGAGUGACGGUAAUGGGUAAAGAAGCACCGGCUAACUACGUG